rnacentral:rRNA from 1 species
UCCGUAGGUGGAUAAUUAAGUCAGAGGCGAAAUCCUGCAGCUCAACUGUAGAAUUGCCUUUGAUACUGGUUAUCUUGAGUCAUUAUGAAGUGGUUAGAAUGUGUAGUGUAGCGGUGAAAUGCAUAGAUAUUACACAGAAUACCGAUUGCGAAGGCAGAUCACUAAUAAUGUACUGACACUGAUGGACGAAAGCGUGGGGAGCGAACAGGAUUAGAUACCCUGGUAGUCC